AAAUCAAGCGCGAAAAGGGCGUUUGGUGAAUGCCUUGGCAGUAAGAGGCGAUGAAGGACGUGAUACUCUGCGAUAAGUCAUGGGGAGCUGAGAAUAAGCUUUGAUCCAUGAAUUUCCGAAUGGGGCAACCCACCUGAUACUGUGUUAUUACUGACCGCAAGGUCAGCUAAUAAUGCGGUAAACCAGGUACUUAUAGACUGAAUACAUAGGUUUAUAAGAGCAAACCCGGAGAACUGAAACAUCUAAGUACCCGGAGGAAAGGACAUCAAUUGAUACUCCCCUAGUAGCGGCGAGCGAACGGGGACCAGCCGAGCCUUGAAUGUGAAUAGAACGUGUUGGGAAGCACGGCCAUAGAGGGUGAUAGCCCCGUAUAUGAAGCACGAUAGGACGUAUUAAGUAGGGCGGGACACGUGAAAUCCUGUCUGAAGAUCGGAGGACCACCUUCGAAGGCUAAGUACUCCUUACUGACCGAUAGUGAACCAGUACCGUGAGGGAAAGGUGAAAAGCACCCCGACGAGGGGAGUGAAACAGUACCUGAAACCGAACGCCUACAAUCAGUCGGAGCCG
rnacentral:rRNA from 1 species